UACCAAAACUAAGCUGAAGAGAAUAUUGGAAUUACGACUGCGUCCAGACCCCAACCCCAAGCCAAACCAAACACCCUCCCUCACAAAAAAUCAUUAGUCUCUCCAACCGCCUCAAUCUCUAUCUACGAUUCCACUGUCUGCAUCUCUCUAUCUCAACGAUUCGAAAAUUCUUCCGAUGCCCUAGCCCUCCAGGGCCGGUGCCACUUUCUUCUGGCGGCACCUCUGGUAGGCAAGACUCACAGGUAUUCGGGUUAAGGAUUUCUCUCGAGUUUUUAGCUGAAAUAUUCUGCAUAUUCGAUUCGACCGUGAGGAGGAGAGGAGGAACUAUUGAAUUUAAGGUUUUUGGGGCUCCGGGCGAGUGCCAUGGCUCCGACGCGUAGACGCGGACCAAACAACAAAGCCAAGGACAAGAGUCAGAUGAGUCUGGGUGAUCUUGUCCUCGCUAAGGUCAAAGGCUUCCCCGCUUGGCCUGCCAAGAUUAGUAAGCCUGAAGACUGGAAGCAGUCACCUGACCCCAAGAAAUACUUCGUUGAAUUCUUUGGAACACAAGAAAUAGGUUUUGUUGCACCUGCGGAUAUUCAGACAUUCACUAAUGAGGUUAAGAGUAAAUUAUCUGCCCGUUGUCAGGGUAAAACAGUCAAGUGCUUUGCUCAAGCUGUGAAGGAAAUUUGUGUUGCCUUUGAUGAAUUGCAAAAGAAGAAAUCAUGCGGUCUUGGAGAUGAUACUGAUAGAUCAGAUGUUGGGUGUGAGGCUUCCUCUGUCAACAGUGUGGAGGAUGAUCGGGUAGAGGUUGACUUAAAGGUUGAGACUGUUAAGAUGACAUACAAAGUUGAAAUAUUGAAUGAGGCUGUAAGCGAUUCUGACUCAAAGUUAGAGUGCAGCUUACAGACCCAAGGUGGAACUGAAAGUCCAGAUGUAAAGCCUCCCGUCUCCUGUUGUGCAAAUGAUAAUUCCUCUCUGGUCAUUUCUCCUGACAGCAGUACUAGAGUAUCUGAUAAUGCAAAACUAAAGGAAGAGGUAUUACCGAAAUCCUGUCCAGAUAAGUCUUUAUACCUUAAGAAAGAAUUGAGUGUUGGUAAAAAUGUAGAAGGUGAUGUUUCCUGCACCAAGAAACAGGGCGAGGGACAGAAGGUAUUGACAAAUGAUCACAAGUUGAAGAAGAUAGGUGGUUCAAAGAAGAGAGGUGAUAGUGCAAUGGGAAUACACAAAACUAGUACAUCUGCCAUAACGUUAUUGAAGGGUGAAAAUGAUGGUCGUUCUGUUGAUCCCCCUGAACCUCUUGAGCGAUUGAAAGAUGGAAUUAAGAGCAAAAUCAACUCUAGUAGCAGCAUACACCAGUUUUGUUCUAGCCCUCUUAAAGCUGAUUCUGGUAACAGUGCUAUAAAAAAAUCAAAAGAUUUGCUAAGAGUGAAAAAACGUGUCAAGGUUGCUGAUAAUAUGCAGGAUCCUGGUAUUGAUCCAGAUGAGGAGGCCAAGGAAAAAUCUUCUGGCGGGGAAAAGAAUGCCCAGAAUGGACAAGGAAGGCCUGAUUGUAGUGCAAAUGAUGGUUCACAAAAGUCAAACCAUGACGAUAUUGGUGAUAUUGGUGCCUAUGGAGCACAUACAAGAAGAAAAAAGAGCGACUCUCCCAGCCCCGAUUUGGUUGACAAGAAGGCAUUGAAAAAGUCAGAGUUUAAAAGCUCAACAUCAUCUGUGAAACCUGAAGGUAAUUUGCCUUCAAGAGCCCAAGGUAGUAUUUUUGGACCGAAUGCUUCUGGUGAUGAGGCUGCUCUACCUGUGACAAAGCGUCGACGUCAAGCAAUGGAGGUUAUGCCCGACUCCGAUACUGCUCCCAUUGAUGAUAAAACAGAAAGAAAAUCUACUUCAUUGAAAAAUGAGCUGUCAUCUUCCAGUGAUGUUAAGGUUCCAGGAAACCGACAGAACAAAAAACGGAGAGCAGUUUGCCUUUUUGAUGACGACAACGACGAUAAGCCAAAAACUCCUGUUCAUGAUGGAUCAGCAAGAAAUAUUACUUCAAACGUUACAGAUGCUACCAAGAGCAGUGAUGCACGUAAUGAUUCUUCCAAUAUCGCUCAGCAGGUUGGAGUUUCUGUUGCAUUUGAGGAUGGCCACUCAAAGGAGUCUUCCUCUGAAUUACAUACUGAGUCUCUGUCACCAGGCAUACGUCAAACUGAUGGGAAGAGAGAUGAAAAGGAAAUUGCUGCUCAUGUUUCUCAUAGAUCUGAGCAGCUGUCAUCCAAGGAGCAGUCAUUGUUGAAGGUGGCAAAAUUAGUGUUGAUUUCCCCAAAAAAGUCUCCCCAGUCUGGUCCUACUACCAAACCACUGGCAGAACAGCAUAAAGAGGCCAAAGCAUCGAUUAAAGUUUCUGGUACUGGUUCUCAGAAGAAGAUUCAUGCUGGGUCUGCUAAGGGUUUGGGUGUUGUUUCUAACAGCAUGAAUUCUACUCAGAAUCAAGAAACAAUUCAAAGAACCAGGCUUUCUCCAGGAGAAAGAUCUAAAAACACUCCUAAAUCAAUCUCAAGGGUUGGUGAAUCCACCGUUUUGACUGGGAAAUUAGUGGAGUAUAAUUCUUUGCCUGGGGAAAGAGUGGAAUCUGGUAGGGAAGAUAAAAAUAGUUCCCUGGUUGAUUCUAAGACUCCAGAAUCUGUUACGUCCAUGAAGCAUCUUAUCGCUGCAGCACAGGCAAAAAGAAGAGAGGCUCACUCUCAGAAUUUCUCACUUGGAAUCUUUAGUUCUUUUGUGUCUUCCUCAGAUGUCCAGGAAAAGAGCCCCAGUCCACCUGCAGUGCAGUCUCUUAUGACUGCUACUAGCAUUAUGCUGCAGGCGGAUUUGCAAGGAUUACAAAGUCACACAAUUUUGGCUUCUCCAUCAAAUCAUGGUCGCCAAUCUGCAUCGCGAAAUCAACUUGAUAUUGAAGACAUUGACGAGAGAAGAGUGAGUUCAGGCCCCACAACUGCUGGAGGCUCUCUGAGUUGUGGUACUGAUGCAGCUGUGGCUCGUGAUGCUUUUGAAGGAAUGAUAGAGACUUUGUCAAGGACUAAAGAAAGUAUUGGACGUGCAACUCGCCUUGCUAUUGAUUGUGCAAAGUAUGGAAUUGCUACUGAGGUAGUGGAACUUCUCAUACGAAAGCUGGAAACUGAGGCUAGUUUUCAUCGUAAAGUUGAUCUGUUUUUUCUUGUAGAUUCCAUUACCCAAUGCUCGCAUAGUCAGAAAGGCGUUGCUGGAGCUUCAUACAUUCCUGUGGUUCAAGCAGCAUUGCCACGUCUUCUUGGCUCUGCUGCUCCACCUGGAGCCAGUGCUCGUGAAAAUCGUCGUCAGUGUCUUAAGGUUUUGCGGUUGUGGCUUGAGAGGAAAAUCUUACCUGAAUCUAUUAUUCGGCCUUACAUGGAUGACAUUGGCGUUUCAAAUGAUGAUGCAGUCAGUGGUCUUUCGCUGAGACGUCCUUCACGAGCAGAACGAGCUGUAGAUGAUCCAUUAAGAGAAAUGGAAGGCAUGCUUGUUGAUGAAUAUGGGAGUAAUGCUACAUUUCAGCUGCCCGGUUUUUUAUCUUCCCAUGUAUUUGAAGAUGAGGAAGAAGAUUUUCCAGGCAGUUCAUUCAGGGAAGCUGGUGAUGCACCAGCAGUGGAUACAACCCAUGCAUGUGAAGAGUCAGAAACUCAUAUAGUACCUCCAAAUGACAGGCGCCAUUGCAUCUUGGAGGAUGUGGAUGUUGAGCUCGAAAUGGAAGAUGUUUCAGGACACCUGAAGGAUGAAAGACCCUCACUAACAAAUCGUUCUUUUGAAACUGAUUCACAACAGAGCUUGGAUAAGACCUCUGAAUUUACUCCCAAAAAUUCUACCAAGUUGCCUCUGCUGCCAGAAGGUUCUCCACCUUUGCCUCUAGAUUCUCCACCGCCACCACCACCUUUGCCUUCUUCACCACCACCACCACCACCCCCAUCAUCUCCAUCGCCGCCACCUCCACCACCUCCCGUAUCACAGCCACCACCUCCACCGCCUCCCAUUUCACACCCACCACCUCUACCGCCUCCCCUAUCACAGCUACCACCUCCUCCUUUAUCCCAUUCUGGUGCUCCACCUUUGUUGGUUGCUCAAGCUUUACCAAGUCAGCCUUCAUUAGUCUCCCAACCAUUUUUACCACAUCACUCGUCGGUACAGUCUUCACCACAGUUGCCAUAUCAACCACCUGUACCGCAUGAAUAUUGUAGCCCUGCUAGCGGCAACCAACUGGUCCAAAUGGCUAGUCAUGGGGGUCAUAUUGAUAAUGUGCAGAAAAGUGAAAUGUUUCAACAGCAGUCAUUGUGUUUUGCUUCAACAGGAGUAUCCAAUUCUCGUGAGCCAUCUGGGUUUAAUUCUUCAAGGCAAUUAGAAUAUGGACACAAUGAGAUGUAUUUAAACCCACAAAUUUCUCAACCCAAUCAACAAUUUCAACAAGGUGAAACCUCUUUUACGCAAAGACCUUUACACCCUGCUCCACCUCACAACCCAUCCAGUCAUUUCUCUUAUGCAAAACAGACAAUUCAGCAACAUGCUCAGCAUCCAUAUCACCAUCCAAAUUCUUUACCGUCCCUUCCGGAUGGUCAGAGGCAACUUGUUGCCGAUGAACAAUGGAGGAUGCCCUCGGGGGAAUUUAAAACAGAACAUCAGCAUGGUGGGUGGAUGAAUGGAGAGAGAGCUCGUUCGGGACUGACUUUUGCCCAGGAAGGUUAUUUUCGGCCACACCUUGAGAGGCCACUUGCAAAUAAUAUUGGUUUUCAGCGGCCAGCCCCUAAUAAUCUACCAAUUGGAGCUCCAACAUCAGGUCAGGCUGUGUCCCAGAUGUUUCCUUGUAGACCAGACAAUUCUUCUCUUAACUGUUGGAGGCCAGCUUGAUAGUCUCAAGUGAGAACACCUGUAGGUUUUCAGUACUUUGCAGCUGAUUUAAUUUAGAAGGAAAUGCCUUAACGUUCUCCAAAUGAAGUGGAAGGUCACAUGUGAUCAAUUUGUCUUACCUACUUUGGUUGCACCAAGUAGCAAAUGCCAUUUACGUAUUGCCUCGGAGUAAGAUUGAAUUUCAGGGCAAUCCAUCCACACAUGACGGCAGUGUUAAGAACUAGUGGAGGCUCUGGGCAGGACUCUGUAGAUUUUAAUUUUUCCUGACAGGUGUAUCCUGAGAACAUUUUCUGCCUAGUGUAGGCCCAUGUCACUUGACUUGGUUAUGGAAAAACAUUAAAACCAAAAUGUCCACCAUUUUUGAGGUUAUCAAUCUGGUCAUCAAUCCACUAAUAUGGUUUCAUACAUUAUGGCAGAUAUAACUACAAGAUUUUGAGGUAAAUGUUGUAUGAUGCUAAUAACUGGUACACUUUCCUGUUAAACUACUUCUAUCCAUAUGAGGAUGGCUCUCUUACAUGCUCCUCAUAUUAAUUCUAUGAUAAUUCUCUUACAUGCUUCAAGAAUAGAUGGUUCUUUUCUCUGCAA